GUUCACUUGAAGAGAGAGAAAACGGUUUCCAUUUGAGGAGAGAGAAACCACAAUUCGUUGCCCAAUCUUCUUCAAUUUUCGCCAAAUUUCUGUUUUGGUGCGGCACUGGUUGUGUUGAGCUUGCGGUGGUGGUGCAGUGGCGCCAUGAAUUGUUGUUGGUGAGAAGACGGCGAUACUUUGUUGUAGGUUCUUCUUCUGUGCUUGACAACGUGCGAGGAACAGAUCUUGAGGUGGUUGUGACUUGAGGUGGUUGUGCCUUGAAGUGGUUGACUGCUGGAUUUCUAUCGUCUCCGGCGAGAUCGUUGAGGAGAUACGAAGGAAUAGAGGCGGCGAUCGAAGUGAUGAUCGGCUAUUAUUUGCUUUUCAGAUCGAAGUGAUUCACCUCCGUGCAUUGGUGUUGGCAUUAUUGGACCUUCGGUGGUGGCGGAUGGUUGUGAGGUGCUCCUGUUGCUGUGGCGAGAUGUCGGGUAGAGUAGUUGGUGCUUACAAGGCUCUAAUAUGAUUUUGGGUUUUGAUUGUAAAUGUAAAUCAAUUUUAGUUAUGAAUUAUUCUAUUUUAGUUAAAUUUUUGUUAUAUUUAGUUAUGAAAUAAAAUGAUUUAGUUACAUUGUUUUUUA